rnacentral:rRNA from 1 species
UGGGGAAUUUUGGACAAUGGGCGAAAGCCUGAUCCAGCAAUGCCGCGUGUGUGAAGAAGGCCUUCGGGUUGUAAAGCACUUUUGUCCGGAAAGAAAUCCUUGGCUCUAAUACAGUCGGGGGAUGACGGUACCGGAAGAAUAAGCACCGGCUAACUACGUGCCAGCAGCCGCGGUAAUACGUAGGGUGCAAGCGUUAAUCGGAAUUACUGGGCGUAAGCGUGCGCAGGCGGUUUGCUAAGACCGAUGUGAAAUCCCCGGGCUCAACCUGGGAACUGCAUUGGUGACUGGCAGGCUAGAGUAUGGCAGAGGGGGGUAGAAUUCCACGUGUAGCAGUGAAAUGCGUAGAGAUGUGGAGGAAUACCGAUGGCGAAGGCAGCCCCCCUGGGGCCAAUACUGACGCUCAUGCACGAAAGCGUGGGGAGCAAACAGGAUUAGAUACCCUGGUAGUCCACGCCCUAAACGAUGUC